rnacentral:rRNA from 1 species
GUAUUUUAUCCUCAAAACUUAGCAAAAACAUGGGUAAGUUAUGGUUCUUAGACGUAUAAAUACGCCCAACAUCAAGUAAACCCAUAAGGUGUAAGGAAGCUGAUUGGUGGUAUCCCCUCGAGGGGUGCAUCGCCGACCGACCUUGAUCUUCUGAGAAGGGUUCGAGUGUGAGCAUACCUGUUGGGACCCAAAAGAUGGUAAACUAUGCCUGAGCGGGGUAAAGCUAGAGGAAACUCUGGUGGAGGCCCGCAGUGAUACUGACUUGCAAAUCGUUCGUCUGACUUGGGUGUAGGGCCCGCGGCUGCUUUGUCGAGCCGUGCCACGAAUCAAGAGCUCCAAGUGGGCCAUUUUGAGUAAGCAGAACUGGCGAUGUGGGAUAAACCAAAAUCUGGGUUACUGUUCCAAACUGUGCACUAACCUAGAUCCCAAAAUGUUAGGAAGUUCGGAGACAUCGGCAGGAGCCUCAGGAAGAGUUAUCUUUUCUGUGUAACCGCUUCCCACAGUGGAAUCGGCUUAGUCAGAGGUAGGGUCCAGUGGCUGGAAGAGCACCACACAUCACGUGGUGUCCGGUGCACUACCGAAGGCCCUUGAAAAUCCAAAGAACCGAAUGCCGUCCAUGCCCGGUCGUACUCAUAACCAUAUCAAGUCUCCAAGGGAACAACCUCUGGUUGAUGGAACAAUGUAGGCAAGGGAAGUCGGCAAAAUAGAUCCGUAACUUCUAGAAAAGGAUUAUCACUGAGGGCUGGGCAUGGGGGUCCCAGUCCCGAACCCAUCGGAUGUCGAUGGACUACUCAAGCUUCUCCCAUAGCGAGAGCGGGUCACUGCAUACCGAUCAGGGGAUGUACUGGGAACGGUUCCUUCAGGGGCCUUCCCUGCACAUCAAACAGCCAACUCAGAAUCGGUACGGACAAGGGGAAUCCGACUGUUUAAUUAAAACAAAGAAUUACUAUGGUCCCAACGGAUGUUCACGCAUUGUGAUUUCUACCCAGUGCUCUGAAUGUCAAAGUGAAAAAAUUCAACCAAGCGCGGGUAAACGGCGGGAGUAACUAUGACUUACUUAAGGUAGCCAAAUGCCUCAUUAUCUAAUUGGUGACGUGCAUGAAUGGAUUAACGAGAUUACCACUAUCCCUGUCUACUAUCCAGCAAAACCACAGCCAAAGGAACGUGCUUGGCAGAAUCAAUGGGGAAAGAAGACCCUCUUGAGCUUGACUCUACUCCGACUUUAUGAAAUGACUUAAGAGGUGUAGUAUAAGUGGGAUCCGUGAAUUGGAAUUGGGGCACUGCCCCUACUGGCUGGAUCAACUAGGUAGACAGGCAAAAGUGUAAUACCACUACUUUUAACAUUAUUUUACUUAUUCUGUGAAUUGCAAGCGGGGCACUGCCCCUCAUUUCAGACCCCAGUCUCACUCUGUGGGCUGAUCCAAGUGGAAGACAUUGCCAGGCGGGGAAUUUGGAUGGGGCGGCACAUCUGUUAAAAGAUAACGCAGGUGUCCUAAGAUGAGCUCAACGAGACCAGAAAUAUCGUGUAGAACAGAAGGGUAAAAGCUCGUUUGAUUCAAAUUUCCAUUACGAAUAAGAACCAUUAAAGUGUGGCCUAACGAUUCUUUAGACCUUCAGAAUUCAAAGCUGGAGGUGUUAGAAAAGUGCUACCACAGGGAUAGCUGUCCUGUUGUAACCAAGCGUUCAUAGCGACGUUGCUUUUUCAUCCUUUGAUGUUGGCUCUUCCUAUCAUUUUGAAGCAAAAUUCACCAAGUGUUGGACUGUUCACCCACCAAUAGAAAACAUGAGGUGGGUUUAGACCAUCGUGAGACAGGUUAGUUUUACCCUACUUAUGACAGUGUCACUGUAGUAAUUCAACCUAGUACGAGAAGAAAUAUUGAUUCACACAAUUUGUCAUUGCACUUGGUUGAAAAACCAGUGGCGUAAUGCUACCGUGUGCUGGAUUAUAACUGAACAUCUCUAAGUUAGAAUUCGGACUAGAAGCGAUGCAUGCGCCUGCUAUCCGCUUGUCGACCCACAGUAGGUGCCUCGGCCCCCAAGGGCACAUGUCGUUUUCUAAGCCACCGCGGUAGAAGAAUCACGGAGGCCGCCUUGAAGUAUAAUUUCCAUCGAGCGGCCGGUAGAAUCCAUUGCA